GAUGAACGCUGGCGGCGUGCCUAAUACAUGCAAGUCGAGCGAACAGAUGAGGAGCUUGCUCCUCUGACGUUAGCGGCGGACGGGUGAGUAACACGUGGAUAACCUACCUAUAAGACUGGGAUAACUUCGGGAAACCGGAGCUAAUACCGGAUAAUAUAUUGAACCGCAUGGUUCAAUAGUGAAAGACGGUUUUGCUGUCACUUAUGGAUGGAUCCGCGCCGCAUUAGCUAGUUGGUAAGGUAACGGCUUACCAAGGCAACGAUGCGUAGCCGACCUGAGAGGGUGAUCGGCCACACUGGAACUGAGACACGGUCCAGACUCCUACGGGAGGCAGCAGUAGGGAAUCUUCCGCAAUGGGCGAAAGCCUGACGGAGCAACGCCGCGUGAGUGAUGAAGGUCUUCGGAUCGUAAAACUCUGUUAUUAGGGAAGAACAAAUGUGUAAGUAACUAUGCACGUCUUGACGGUACGUAAUCAGAAAGCCACGGCUAACUACGUG
rnacentral:rRNA from 1 species